AACUGGUUUUGAAGAUUAGUUAAUCUUGAUUAAUUAGCUGGAGCAACGGUAACAUUGUCUCUUUGUGACCUAUAGGUUACAGGUUCGAGCUUUAGAAUCAAGUCGUUUAUGUUUGCGUUAAGGUAGGUUGUCGGCUCUUACCCUAACCCUGUGUGAAUGCGGGAUAUUUGUACGCCGGUUGCCCUUUUAUUUUUAUUUUUUAUUUUUUAAAUUGGAUUAAUGGGUUAAUUUUUGUAAGUUAUUAUAGGGUGGAUUGAUCCUCUAGUUUUGAUGGUUAUCUUUUAGCUGUGACUUCAAUUCAGAGGAUCUAAUGUAAUGUAAGAUUGUGUUGCAUAUUCACAUUUCUUUCCUUAGAUUUUGCAUAAUCCUUUGGAUUUUUGAAUGGAAUAUCAGUCCGAGGGAUUAGUUUGUAAUUUUAAACUUGAUGAGUUUUGGAUUUGUACUGUGGAAUCUCACCUAAUUAAUUUAUUUUUCUUUGAUUAAUAUAAUGUUAUUCACCUUUCUCUCUUUCAUGUAGAUAGAAACCUUUUGCUUUAUGACUUUGAUUUGCUUUUCACCAAAAGCCAUAUAAAAGAAAAGGAUAUUAUUAACAUAUAUUGCAUGUUAGAAAUGCACUAAUUAACAUGUUCAUAAUUUUGGUUUAGUUGCUUUUGCUUCUUGUUUUUGUAAAUAAACUUUUGUGUUAACAUGGAAAUAAAUGAGAAAACUAUGUAAGUUUGUAUUAGAAAAUUCAUAAAUAUUUCAUUAUAAAAUUACUAAUAAAUAAGUUAUAUGUUCAAUGGCAAGUUCUUAACGCAUAAAUUUUAAAUUUUGGCACCGUUUCUAAUUUGUAUUAGAAAGAGAGAUAUAUUAUGGCCUCGUUUGUUUGUACUUAAUGGAGGUCUGAAUAUUAAUCAUCUAGAUCUCAGUCAUUAAGUAUGUUUUUUACUUCUGAAUCUUAAUCAUUCAGAUCUUAACCAUCAAGUUUGUUUGCUUUUUCAAUUUUACAACCGCUUAACGAGUCUGAAUAGAUCAUCAUGAUUAAGAUAUAUAAUAGAGUCUUAAUAUCAUUAAGAUUUUAUACAUUUAAAAAUUUAUGUAAAAAUAAUAUUUCACUAUUACUCCUACACUUUCAUCAUUAAUCAUCAUCACCACUGCUAUCAAUGUCCCCCACUAUUAUACACUACCACCAACCUCAGCUACAAGCACCACCGCUACUAAGCACGAACGUCAGUUGUCACUACCGCUAGCCAUCAUUUACAUCUAUCACCACCAACCACCAUUACCACAACAAUUAUCAAUUACCAAUAUUAACAACCACUAUAUAUCACCCAUCAUUGUUAUCAGUCACCAUGCCACCAUCGUUAACCACUAUUGGCAUUCACAUCUACUAACCAUAAUCACCACAAUCAACCAGCAUCACCACCAGCUAUCACCUAGUUGAUGGCAUUCACAUGUAGUAUUAGAUUAAUUAGAACUAUUUGAUUUGAAGUUAGACUUAUUAAUUUUUAAAUAAAGACAAGUUUUAUACCUUAAAAAACAAACAGACUUAAUUAUUCAGUAUUCAGAUCUUAAUAUAAUAUUUUAAUAUUCAGAUGCGUAUUUAAAUUUAAAUAUUUUAAUCUUAAUACACAUAUUAAUAUUUAGAUGUGUAUUAAUCUUAAUCUUACUAAAAACAAAUAAGGCCCAGUAGACGUUUUGGAUAGUAUUUAGUGGUAGGUAAGAAAGCAACAUGUUAACUUGGACAAUCCUUUGAAGCAAAAAUUCACACGCUAACUAAACACCCACCCCAUCCCCACCCCCACACCCCUAAAGGGAGGAAAUUUUAUUUUUAUUUAUCUUCAAAGAAAUGGUAACUUGGCUUGUUUGUUUGGAUAUGGACAAAUUUGUAUCGUGUAUGAGUUGUAAUUUAUACAGAUAAUGUAUACCAAUAAAUAAAUUGACCUUAUGCAUUUGUAAUUCCUGAAUACUGAAAUUGAGGUCAUAUUUCAAAGUUUGAACACACUUCUAUCCUUUUCCCAUCUCUCAUCUUAUUUUAGGACCAUAGUUUUUUAUUUUCUACAGCCUGGUAUUGCAUGUACUUUCAUGUGUUUGUCUAUGACACAUUCUUCUCAAACCUUGUCACUUGGAUUUUCUUUUUUUUAAUCAAACAGCCAAUUAUUACUCGUCAGCUCAUUUUCCAAAAAUAAAAAUAAAAAUACAUUAAAAUAUUUUAUCUUUAUAUUCUACAAUAUUUUAGAGUUUACCGUGAUUCUCUUAUCAAUCAGUCAUAAUUUUGAUUCGAGUCUAAAAUAGUUGGUAUCAGUUAUAUGAAUAC
rnacentral:lncRNA from 1 species